GAACAAAAGUACGAAAUCUAUAUCAAGAUUUUCAAUUAGUCGAAAAACGUUCCAAUGACUGUAAAUUAAAUAGGGAUUGUCCUCACGGAUACGCGUGCUAUCCUAGCAUAAACCCACACAGAUGUUAUACUUAUAUCGUUACCCUUAAGACAAACAAGUAGGCUUGAAUCUAUAACGAGAACUGGAAAUCCAAGCUGAUAUCUGCAAGGAAAAAUCUAGCAAUUCUAAUUUUGCUAUAACUGUAACUUGUAACCUAANAAUAAAUAUACUCUUGCAAUAAAUUGU
rnacentral:lncRNA from 1 species